CCUUUGAAGUCCGGGCGGCUGCCGCUUUCAUCCUUUCUUUUUUCCCUCGCAGGCCCCUUUGUGUGACUAAAUUUGGCAAGAAUAUGGAUCCGAGCCAGUCUUUCCACGUGUGCUCUCAGCUCCCAGCUGAGAAGGCCAAGGGUUCUCUUCCGGAUGCAGCCAUUUUGAAAUUUAUUCUUGGUGGAAAGAGGAACACGGACCAAGGCACUGAGAGUUCAGUCUCCUUUGAGGGGUGAGGGGUUGGAGCAGUGGGAAGGCCCUAAAAAUACUCAAAGAAGUCUUGGGUCCUCUGUAGAAGAAGUUCUCAGGGAAACUGCCUGACUGUCGGGAGCUACAUCCAGUGCCCAGAAAACACACCUACGCAGGCACAGUGAGACACGGAGCUGGACAAUUUUCCAGUGAAUGCCACCAAAGUAAAUAAACCACCUGGAGGGUCAAGAUUUAGCCUCCUUUUCAUCAAGACAAGCCUUUGGGGAACAUGAGUUCCAUGGGAGUACAGACUUUUGUUGUAUCUCUACUGCCUUCAACAGCCCUAAGUGCACAGAAAAUAAGGAAGAUACGAUGUCUGCCUGGAAAAAGUUCAGCCAUUGUUAAUAUAA